GUUAUUUCUUUUAUUUUCAAAGAAAAUUGUGAAACCUCAUUGUUGAGCAAGAGAAGUUUCGGCCAAUCUUCCUACCUUGCUUUGGGUGCCGGUCUUGGGUGUCUUACCAAUGGCUGAGGUCCUGCAUUUGUUGCGGAUUCUCCACAGCUCGUGUGAGCAGCAUUGUGCAGUUUAACAUCCCGACCUACAGCUCGUGUGAGCAGGCCCAUUUCACAGCAUGUAUCAUUGGAAAGCUCAAUCGAUUGGAAUUUCGUUGGAGCACAAUCACACUAUCCAAUCAUUGUUUUGAUUAUCAGAUUUAAGCUGUUGAUUGGAUCAUCUUUGGAGACCACACUAUCUGUUAACUCUUUUGGUAGCUAUUUACUCAUUUUGGCCCGAUUAUAAGUGGCAUGUAAAUAGGUUAAUGACAGUAUAUGUACAUGAGUAGUUUGGUUAUGUUUUGUGCUAUUUUGAAUAAGAACUAUGUGUAAUGAUGCAAA